GGGAAUGUGGCUUAGUGGAAGAGUGCUUGUCUAGCAUACAUGAAGCCCUGGGUUCAAUUCCUCAGUACCA
rnacentral:tRNA from 1 species